rnacentral:lncRNA from 1 species
AACAGUUUUUCAACUGUGAGUCUGAAGCUGGAGGUCAAGACUGAAGGUGUGACUCUGGGACUCUCCCUGGACAAACCCAUCUUUCAAGCUGCCUGCCUUAGAAUAACAUCAAGACAAGGUUGGGAAGAAAUUCUCCAUUCAUUCUGGUGGACAGAGUGAUUUUGGAAAAGAAUUUCUCAUUCCAAGAGUUUCUACGGACUCUUCAACUGGAUUUCUGCUGCUUGACCCACCAAGGACUCUGUGAAUAUUGUUCAGGAGUGUUGGACUUCCCUUCCCUACCUGAAAAGCUAUCAGAAGCAGCUUCAGAUAAUUUGACUAAUAUCCAUUCACUUGUGCUCAAAGGAAUUUGGAACUGGAAACUAAAAGGAAAUAUUCAAAGAAAAAGAAUAAGGUCAGAAAAAAUAUAGCAACUUGUUAAAAAUAUAGAAAACAAAGAAAGAAUUGAAAAAAGUAAAUUACAGAAGACUGGCUGUAUUAAAAAUACGGCUCCUUUGAGAAGGAUCAGCUGCUCUAGGAUUGGAAAAGACAUUUGAAUAACUGCCUGGCAAUAAAAGAAUCUAUGAAAAUAAGAUAGAAA